AUGCACGCUGGCGGCGUGCCUAAUACAUGCAAGUCGAGCGAACAGAUAAGGAGCUUGCUCCUUUGACGUUAGCGGCGGACGGGUGAGUAACACGUGGGUAACCUACCUAUAAGACUGGAAUAACUCCGGGAAACCGGGGCUAAUGCCGGAUAACAUUUAGAACCGCAUGGUUCUAAAGUGAAAGAUGGUUUUGCUAUCACUUAUAGAUGGACCCGCGCCGUAUUAGCUAGUUGGUAAGGUAACGGCUUACCAAGGCAACGAUACGUAGCCGACCUGAGAGGGUGAUCGGCCACACUGGAACUGAGACACGGUCCAGACUCCUACGGGAGGCAGCAGUAGGGAAUCUUCCGCAAUGGGCGAAAGCCUGACGGAGCAACGCCGCGUGAGUGAUGAAGGUCUUCGGAUCGUAAAACUCUGUUAUUAGGGAAGAACAAAUGUGUAAGUAACUGUGCACGUCUUGACGGUACCUAAUCAGAAAGCCACGGCUAACUACGUG
rnacentral:rRNA from 1 species